rnacentral:rRNA from 1 species
GUCCGCACUGUAAACGAUGAUCACUCGUUGUUGGCGAUACACAGUCAGCGACUAAGCGAAAGCAUUAAGUGAUCCACCUGGGGAGUACGACCGCAAGGUUGAAACUCAAAGGAAUUGACGGGGGCCCGCACAAGCGGAGGAGCAUGUGGUUUAAUUCGAUGGUACGCGAGGAACCUUACCUGGGCUUGAAAGACAGUUGACCGUCUCUGAAAGGAGACUUUUCGCAAGAACAACUGUCUAGGUGCUGCAUGGCUGUCGU